rnacentral:rRNA from 1 species
UACGAAGGGGGCUAGCGUUGCUCGGAAUUACUGGGCGUAAAGGGCGCGUAGGCGGACAGUUUAGUCAGAGGUGAAAGCCCAGGGCUCAACCUUGGAAAUGCCUUUGAUACUGGCUGUCUUGAGUUCGGGAGAGGUGAGUGGAAUGCCGAGUGUAGAGGUGAAAUUCGUAGAUAUUCGGCGGAACACCAGUGGCGAAGGCGACUCACUGGCCCGAUACUGACGCUGAGGUGCGAAAGCGUGGGGAGCAAACAGG